rnacentral:rRNA from 1 species
GGAGGAUAUUUGAGAGGAGCUGCCCCUAGUACGAGAGGACCGGGGUGGACGGACCACUGGUGUAUCAGCUGUCGACCAACGGCAUAGCUGAGUAGCCAAGUCUGGACGGGAUAAACGCUGAAGGCAUCUAAGCGUGAAGCCCCCCUCAAGAUGAGAUAUCCCCUCCUUCAAGGAGAUAAGAUCCCUUAAAGACGAUAAGGUAGAUAGGUUCAAGGUGUAAGUGCGGUAACGCAUUCAGCUGAUGAAUACUAAUAGAUCGAAGGUUUAUUCUA